AUGAUGACUCUCAGUAAUGGAUAUCUCGGCUCUCGCAUCGAUGAAGAAUGUAGCGAAAUGCGAUACCUGGUGUGAAUUGUAGAAUCCCAUGAACCAUCGAGUCUUUGAAUGCAAGUUGCACUCGAGGCCAUUCGGCCGAGGGCACGCCUGCCUGGGCAUCAUGC
rnacentral:rRNA from 2 species